rnacentral:rRNA from 1 species
AGGCUAAAUAAUUGGAGAGAAAAAAAAUUGUCAAUGGGAGAAAAGGGAAUCUUAUUGAAAGCAGUCAUACAAGCAAUCCCUGUUUUUGCCAUGUCUGUGUUCAAUAUUCCAAAGAAACUUUGCAAGGAAAUGGCUGAUGCAAUGGCCGAGUUUUGGUGGGGAGAUUCUGAGAAUACAAAACUUAUGCACUGUAUGGCAUGGUGGAGGAUGUGCAUCCCUAAAAGAGAUGGAGGUAUGGGCUUUUGUGAUUUACAUUCUUUCAACUUAGCAAUGCUUGUUAGAGAUAUGAUAGGAAAAUCAACACGAGAAGAAGGAAAACAAGCAAGAGACACAAGAUUUAACGUGGAAAACCCCUCCAACACGAAGGGGAAGAAACUACGGGCGCCAGCCAGCCAAACUUCACUAUAUGGGGGAGGUUACAAACUCUGGGAAUUUAUAACUGAUUCAACUUAUCCCGUGUGGCGGCUUACAAGAGGUAUAUAA